rnacentral:rRNA from 1 species
AGUGAACGUUGGCGGCGUGGAUUAGGCAUGCGAGUCGAGCGAGAACCGUAGCAAUACGGGGACAGCGGCGAAAGGGACAGUAAUAUGUAGGUACCUACCCUCGGGUCCGGGAUAGCUGCGGGAAACUGCAGGUGAUACCGGAUGACAUCUCCGGAUCGAAGGUGUGAUUCCGCCCGGGGAGGGGCCUGCAUCCUAUUAGCUUGUUGGUGGGGUAACGGCCUACCAAGGCGACGAUGGGUAGCGGGUGUGAGAGCAUGACCCGCGUCAUUGGGACUGAGACACUGCCCAGACACCUACGGGUGGCUGCAGUCGAGAAUCUUCGGCAAUGGGGGCAACCCUGACCGAGCGACGCCGGGUGCGGGAUGAAGGCCUUCGGGUUGUAAACCGCUGUCGUAGAGGAGGAAAUGCAGUGGGGUUCUCCCCUCUGUUUGACCUAUUCUAGGAGGAAGGACGGGCUAAGUUCGUGCCAGCAGCCGCAGUAA